AACGAACGCUGGCGGCGUGCCUAACACAUGCAAGUCGAACGAGAACGUCCGGUCUUGGUGCGCACGUGGGCGUAACGCGUGGGAACCUACCCUUGGGUUCGCAAUACCUGCCCGAGAGGUGUGCUAAUAACAGUUAGUGUCAUACGACAAACGAGUUAUCGCCUUUUGGUGGGCGCGCGUUAGUUUAGCUGGUUGGUAGGGUAAAAGCCUGCCAAGAGGACGAUCCAUAGCUAGUCGGGGAGGAUGACCCUGCAGACUGGGAAUGCGACCCGGCCCAGUCUCCUACGGGACGCAGCAGUGGGUAACAUUAGACGCUGGGCGCAAGCCUGAUCAAGCCAUGCCGCGUGAGUGAUGCAGCCCUUAGUGUUGUAAAUCUCUUUUACCCGGGACGAUAAUGACAGUACCGGGUGAAUAAGCUCCGGCUAACUCCGUG
rnacentral:rRNA from 1 species